CUACGGACUUAAUUGGAUUGAGCCUUGGUAUGGAAACUUACUAAGUGAUAACUUUCAAAUUCAGAGAAACCCUGGAAUUAAUAAAAAUGGGCAAUCCUGAGCCAAAUCACGUUUUCCGAAAACAAACAAAGGUUCAGAAAGCGAAAAUAAAAAAGGAUAGGUGCAGAGACUCGAUGGAAGCUGUUCUAACGAAUGGAGUUGAUUGUCUUACAUUGGUAGAGGAAUCCUUCUAUCGAAACUUCAGAAAAGAGGAAGGAUAAACCUGUAUACAUUGAAGAAUUGGUAUGAAUCGAUUUCAUAUUGAAGAAAGAAUCAAAUAUUCACUGAUCAAAGCAUUCACGCAUAAUCUGAUAGAUCUUUUGAAUAACUGAUGAAAUCGGACGAGAAUAAAGAUAGAGUCCCGUUCUACAUGUCAAUACCGG
rnacentral:ncRNA from 1 species